rnacentral:misc_RNA from 1 species
UCCGAGUUGACCCCGGCAGUCUCCCAUGAGUCCCCACCAUUACGUGCUGGCAACAUGGGACGAGGGUUGCGCUCGUUGCGGGACUUAACCCAACAUCUCACGACGCGAGCUGACGACAGCCAUGCAGCACCUGUCUCCGCGCCCCUUGCGGGGACCGCCCAUCUCUGGGCGUAGCACGGGAUGUCAAGGCCUGGUAAGGCUCUGCGCGUUGCUUCGAAUUAAACCACAUACUCCACCGCUUGUGCGGGCCCCCGUCAAUUCAUUUGAGUUUUAAUCUUGCGACCGUACUCCCCAGGCGGUCAACUUAAUGCGUUAGCUGCGCCACUAAAGGGACUAAGCCCCCCAACGGCUAGUUGACAUCGUUUACGGCGUGGACUAC